CUAGCUCACCUUUCUGGUGUUGUUCUUGUACUCAUCUGUUUAAUCUAGUUCUGCCACUUCUUCUUGAACUUCUUGUUAGAUUUCAAGUCUGUAUUUUGUGUCCGCGACAAGUACAUCCAAACUCUUAUUGCCAAAUAUAAGAGCUUUUAUGCAGGCAGCAAAAAAAAAGUCAUUUUUUGAUAUAUAUGUUAGGUCCAUUUUUCAUAGUAGAAAGAUAUCAAGAUAGUGAU
rnacentral:lncRNA from 1 species